rnacentral:tRNA from 1 species
ACUAUUUUAGCAAAUUAGUGCAUUAAAUUUAGAAUUUAAAAAAGUGAUUAUAAUCUCAAAUAGUA